AUCACUUGUUUACAACAUGGCGUCUACUGUAGGUGAACCGUCUCUAAAUUUGGAAAAAGAUGUUGCAAGAGCAGUAGAAUUACUGGAACAGUUGCAAAAGACCGAAGUUGCGAGUCCCAAGUUAGCUGCCCUUCAAAAAGUACUACAAAGUGAUUUUCUCCACGCUGUUCGAGAGGUUUACGAGAAUGUUUACGAAACGGUAGACGUUCACGCUAGCCCGGAGGUUCGAGCAAAUGCUACAGCUAAAGCAACAGUUGCAGCGUUUGCUGCCUCUGAAGGACACGCUCAUCCAAGAGUUGUCGAAUUGCCGAAAACUGACGAAGGUUUAGGAUUUAAUGUAAUGGGAGGAAAGGAACAAAAUUCACCAAUUUAUAUAUCGAGAAUCAUUCCAAAUGGUAUUGCCGAUAAAAUAGGUGGAUUAAAAAGAGGCGAUCAACUAUUAUCCGUAAAUGGAGUUAGUGUUGAAGGCGAACCACACGAAAAAGCAGUCGAACUAUUGAAAGCUGCCUCUGGAACGGUUAAGUUAGUUGUCAGAUUUACACCAAGAGUUUUGGAUGAAAUGGAGGCUCGUUUUGAUAAGCAAAGAACUCAAAGAAGACGCCAACAACCUAGCUAAAUUAUCAUUUGAUUAAGGCGUUUAGUCCACUUUUUUAAGUAGUAUGUCUAUCUCAUAAAAUUUCCUUUAUUUUUAUUUAUAAUUCAACUUUUCUUCACCUUACAACAUUCAGGUUAACUUAGUUCUAGAAUAAUAGAAUAUUUUGAUUACAGUGCAACUUUGUUUUCAAUAUUUUGAACGAUUGAAUGACAAUUUCUCUAAUAUAAAUGCUAAAAAAGCGAUUUAUGGUGAUUUUAAGCUUGAUUAACCAACGAAAUAUAAGAUAAAAAAAGAUUCUUUUCAAAAUAGUUUGUUGUUGGUUCAUAUUUAUAAUUUUUUAAAAUAAAAAAGUGCACUGUUUCUUUGUCAUUUGUAUAAAAAAUUAUAGACAUAUUCAAUUAUUGGUAGCGUAUAAACAUCUUGAAUGGAAAGAACACGCAAUAAAUAUUAUUUUUUUUGUCAAUUUUUUUCUUUCUUUCUAACUAUUUCUUAUCGAUCUAUUGAACUUGUAAGAGGAGGA
rnacentral:misc_RNA from 1 species